ACGAAAAAUUGCAGAAACCUCUUGUCCCCUUUUUCUGACCCCCAACUUUUGGAAACUAUUAUCAAUUUCUAUUUAUCAAGUUGAAGAAUAGAGUAUUUUAUACAAUGUAUACAUUCAAAUUGUCCAAAAUGCUUCUUUGUCUUAAUUUUGACAAUGCAAUGCUAUUUAUCUGUCUGACCCUUUCCCUGCACAGCUUCAAUGAUCUUCCUAUCUCCUCAUAGGAUUGAGGCGUCUGUCCAUUCAGUCCAAAGUUUAGUCUCAAUAUAUAUGCUUCUCUUUCACUAAGUGUUUGAAGAAGCUUCUCCAACUCCUGUUUCAUUAGCUGCCUUUUUACCAUGUUCUCUGGCAUCAUUUCUUCUGGCCCUGGUAUGAUCUCCUGAAGUGUCAUGCCACCUUGAUCAGUUACUGCUCGAUUCAAUGAAAUCGGGGACCUGCACCUCUCAUAACCAAACCUCACUGUUGAAACAUGAACAUUAAGCACUUCAGCAAUCUCAUCAUAAGAUGGCAACCUCCCCAACCUUUUUCUCAAUACAGCUUUAGCUUCUGCAAUUUUUGUCAUCUUAUCCAACAAGCUUCCCUACACUAGAUCAAAUCAGAAGUAGGCCAAGGAAAAACCAAAUUUAUAUAUAUAUUUAAGAAAUUCAUCUCUAAAACAAGAUCAAAUCUUUCAAUUUAAAUAGAAAGUCAAAACACAAGGUCCUCACUGGUAUUCUAACUAAUCUAGACUUGUUAGUUAUGGAUGUAAUGAUGGCUUCUUUGAUCCACCAGUAAGCAUACGUCGAUAGCUUGUUUCCUCUCCUUGGAUCAAAACGCUCUGCACCUCGAAGAAGGCCAAUGUUCCCUUCCUGAAUAAGGUCUUGUAGGCUUAAUCCUUUGCCUCGGUAACUAUUAGCAAUGGAGACAACAAGUCUCUGAUAGCUGUGUGUAAUUCUCUCCUUCGAUUGUCUUCCUUUAUGCACUAUCUUAUCUACAUUCCUCUUCCUCAUCUUUAAGUCCUUGGCCAAUUCCUCCAAAGUUGGCUCAUGUUCUUGAUUUUCAGCUAUUCUUCUUCUUGCAGCUUCUAAUCUUGCUAGGUCCUGGAGACGGAGACAGAACUCUUCUUCCUCAAUUGGGCUCAAAUACCCACAAUUCAGAGGCUCAAAUAAAUCUCCCUCACAUUGACCACCCUUCUCCUCCACCUCCAAACAAUCAAACCCUUUUCUUCUUUUCCUUCUCUUCUUCCUCCUCGCUACUAACUCACCACUCCCAUCUCUCCCCAUCUCAUUUCCACACCCAGAAACCAAUUCCACUGCCUCUCUUGCCGCCUGAACCGCAGCGCUUGCCAAUGCCACUGCCUGAGUUGCUGAAUCAAUGGUAAGAUCAGCUUCAUUGGAGACUAACCUUACACCAAACUUACAAAAAGAAGAGGCAAGAGGAGAUGAAGGGGGUGGUGGGUGUUGGAUGUUCAGUGAUCGAAUGGUUGAGAAGACGGUAGGGGAAGAGGAGCUUAAGCUUACGGUGGUUGUAAUGGCCAUGAAAACGUGGAAAUGUGGAUGGAUUUG
rnacentral:misc_RNA from 1 species